CUCCUUCCAGUCUUGGUGUCCUCUGAUUUAUCCUACAGGAAGUGCUUAUCUUCUUAUACCAUACAGCCGAUUACAUCACUCCUCUGAUGCAUCCCUAAUCAUUCCUCAUGGCCUGCAGCAGUGUUUCUCAAGUGAGUUUUGCCUAUCACCUUCCAUCAGAAUCACCUGGUGAGCUUGUUAGAGAACAGAUUCUCAGGAACCACACCAGGAUUUUGGAUUUAGAAUUGAUGGUGGUUGAGCCUAGACUCUGUAUUUUUAACAAGCUCCCUAUGUGAUUCUUUUUCAUGCUAAAAUUUGAGAGCAUCUGGCCUCCAGAUCAAGUGCAAACACUUCAGAAUUGCUGAUGAGAAGACUGUGCUCAGAGAUGGUAAGAAACUCAGAAGAGGCACCUGGUGAAUAGGAGAUGUCUGGAACUUGAAUGCAGGAAGAAGUGGAUACUUUCAACGGGAGAAACUCGAGCAUCAGAUUUGCUCCUUGGAGCAUUAAUAAAAGGGCUCAGUUAGCCUCAUCUCAUUAUUUUACUAUGAGUAUUGACUUUGGCCUAGAGUCAUGUAUAGAUAAAAUGGUGCAAGGGCUUGUCCUAAGUGAUUACUCAGAAUUACAAAUCAUUUCACGUGUAACUGAAUACUGCCGUCUAGCUGGCACCCUGCCCCUUGCUUCUCCCCCUCCCCUUCCUCUAAUAGGAGCGCAAAUCCAGCUUUGUCUGAAGAGGCAAUUAAUCUUAUUCACUGAAAGCCGAAUUUUAAUUCACCAGCAUGUGGAGGACAUAUUUGCCUAUCACACAGAAUUAGUUUAACAGAGAAUUUAGACAAAAAAGAUAUUGGAGGUCUUGGCAUUCUUUGGCAGGCAAAAUAUCUUGUAGGUACAUUCCUUUAUUAGCCAUCUACAUACUACGAAUAAGCUUCUUGUAAUAAUAACUCUAUUAGGGUAAACUGGGUUUAUUUUGUAUUUGAAAGUGGCUGAUUACAUUUUAUUUCAUGUAAAGAAACCCACAAGAUAUGUGUGUUUUGGAGGAAAAUGAACAUAAGGUGAGAGAGAUAAAUUUUAGUUUUCUAGAGAUUCUAAAAGGCUAUUAUUUUUAAGGGCACAGUUUAAAGAUGAUCAGAAAAAUAAAGGGACACAUAAAAAUCCUAGACAGCCUACAUACAUCCAAAUCUAAUCCUGCAGAAGGGUAAGUGGUAAGGUAUGAGGUAGACACCAUUGCCAGCACCACACUAGGACUCUCAUGUGAAAUCUGUGAGGGCAAAUACCGGAUUUCCCCAGUGCUUCUGCUGUGCUCUAUUUUAAUUUUCCCCUGAGCAAGGCCUUAGUGUUUUAUCUGAAGUUUGUUUCACAUGUAGACAAAGUGUAAAAAAAAAAACUUCCUGAAGCAGUUUCUUAAUUCAAGAGAUUUAGACAGGAAUAUGAUUUAAUGCAUGUCCAUGCUUGGUUAGAUAUCAAAUUCCCCUAAGUUCAGAAAACACAUGGCUCUGUUUUGUCCUUCUAUUUAACAUGGCGCUCGUCAAAGGCUACCUUAUGGUACAGGCAGAUAUCAAAACAUGUAACUGUCCUCACAGUGAAAGAAGGAAUUGAAUAAUAAUAAUAAUAAUAAAAAGAGUACAGAUGAUCUUGCAUGCCACAUAAUAAUUAAUGUGGCAUAAAUCUUAAGGGUUUUACUCUAAGAAAGCGAAAAAGGUGCUAUUGGCUUUUCUGUGGCUCCUUCUCGACUUCUGAUUGUCUCAUGGCCCUGGCAUUAACCCUCAAAUAUGAUUGCUUCCAUUGCCUCUUCUAGAAACACACUGUUGAAUACUUAAUAAUGAGAUGAGGACUCAGGGAACAAUGGAACUCUUUUUCAAAAUUUGUCCUAACGUUCUGAAAGUUUUUUCUUCUUUUUUUUACUGUUGGUGGGUCUGGAGUGGGAGCCAGCCAAGUGCAGGGAAUCUAUCAGAUUAAGUGUGCCUAAUAGUCACCAAAUGUCAUGGCGUAACUAUUGAAACUAAGCACAGGGCUGUAAAGUCACAAAGCUUUAUUGCCUUGUCAAACCAUUUGCAGUGCUAAACCUGGCAAUUAUUCUUAAAGGAAACAAUUUCAAAAUUCAAGGUUUUCACAUUGUUAUCAGAAAAUAUUGCUUUAUGUAGUGUCAGGACCAUAAAGAUUUUUGGAGUCCCUAUGUAAACUUUGCAUUAUCUAUAUAACAUUUAGAAUUUAAAUUACGCUGAAUUGGAAUUUGGAUAUGUGAACGCCCAGACACACAUAUUUGCAAACAAGCACUUGCAAAUGUUCCAAGACUUGAAUGAUGGAUUGAAUAUACAGCAGUGUUCAUUAUUUAUUUACUUAAUUUUUUUGUAAGCUCUGCCACCCUAUGAGGCGCUUAGGCAUAUUUUGAGAGAAGAGGUUGUCUUUUGCAAUUCUUUUGACUAUUUUAUGGUCAGAUCUUCAGUGCUGCAACUGUUUGACCUGGAAAAAGACAUCAAAGGCAGGGCAAAAUAAUGAAAAGGCAGAGCUUUCAGUAUUUCUUGUUGCUCCUCAAAGUAUAUGAAAAUGUUUUAGUUCCAUUCUUCUUCACGGACAUCACACAAAACACACACCCUUUAGGUGAUGUUCUGGGUAAUGUCCUUCCCAUGUCUGCUUGGCAAGGCUCACCAUAGCGCCCCUUCCAGUACAAAAAUGAAGAAGCCCUCCAGCAACACCUCCUUUGGGACGGACAGCUUAUUUCUCCAGUCUCCUUCAAAAGGGGUGAGAUUCUACUCAAAAUUCUUAAUGACACCCUAAAUAAGUAGGUGUAUUUCCAUGCAGAAUUAUUCUUUCCAAGCCUAUUAUCUUCUAUCUGGAUUGUCCUGAACAUUCCAAAAGUCUGUCUACCGGUGGUCUGUAUGUCAAGGUAAAAUUGAGAUUUUAAUGAAUGUAAAAUAAGUUUACUGCAAUCAGAGCUCACUGUGUCCCAGGCACAACCUUAUGAGGAAAGUUCUAUUAUAUCCAUUUACAAAUGAGAAAGAGAGGCCGUAUUAGCUAUAUGUGUCAUAUAAUUUGCUCAACGUAGAGAAGGUAUGAUUUGAACCAGGAUCUUUGGACUCCAGAGCCUAUGCUUUAAAUUGCUUUGCUAUUUUGCCUUUUUAUAAGCUACAAGGAACAAAUAAUUUCAAUGGUUUAAGAAAUUGAGGCGUCCAAAAGGGAAAGCAGAGAGAGAACUAGAGUCAGGAGAGGAAUUUCUUU
ensembl:lncRNA